UGCCCUGGGCAAAGGGAUGCGCCACGAAUUGCUGGACGACCAGGUCCCUUUGGAAUCGGCGAGCAGACUUGCGGGGCAAACUGCGGGUUCCAGUAGCGCAGGAGGACCAUAGGGUCCCCACUGCGCGGGCUAUGAAUGUCGCCGUGUGGAAACCGGGGACCUUCUGACCGCUUGCGCGGAUCCCCCGCUCGGGAGACCUCAAUUCACACCCCCUGUCCCGCGCCAGCUGCCUGGGAGAUCUUCCCCAAACCCGAGUCAUUCUUUGCAAGCGGACGGGGCUCUUUCCCUGCGCACGAUUGCAGCUUUUGAAACAAAAGGCCGCGAGCUCGGUUGCGCGGGGCGGUGCAAGUCUCGUUUCUUUUUCUAGGACGCCACGGAGGUUUCUCCGCGCUCCCGGACGGAGGAAAGAUGGCGAGGGGGAAAGGAAAGGAGGAGAAUGAGGCCCAAAGUCACCUCCAGGGACGGAAGAAGAUGCUUUAGGAUCUCGAAAGGAGGACGCUACGAAGGUUUCUCCGCGCUCCUGGACAGAGGAAAGAUAGCGAGGGGAAAAGAAAAGGAAGAAAAUGAGGAGAGGGGCAGAAGUAACCUCCGGGGGCUGAAGAAGGGAGAGAGACAAGUUGCAGCUUAAACAUUUCUUUCCGGAGCAGCUCCAUCUGUCGCAAAAAUAAUAUAUUAUUUAGGAGGAGCGCUGUAGUGUUGAAAUCCAGUGGACUUUGAAUCCAGCAGGGCUUACUUCGGAAUAACCAUGCUUUGGAAUGGGACGGACGGACGUCUACAUGUGGUUACAUAUAAACUGGAUGUCAAUCGCUACAUGCAAAACGAUGCCUCCGUAUCCUAAUCGACAUCUAAAGGGAAGUAAAUCGAAUUGAUUUCAGUCAGUCAAGUAUUUACUGUAAGGUCUCUGAAUGUGUGUGUGAGGACUAUUACGCCUCUAUUUUAAAAAAACAAACAAAAAAGUAGUAUGCCUGACCUCCUAUUGAGUCUUUGGUCCCCACCCCCCAUUUUUUCUCUCUCAUUCAUUCCUUUUUUAAUGUAACCGGUUUACGUUCCUUAGCCAAAAAGCGGUGUGCAAAUGUAUCGUUAUUGUCAAACGUGGAUCACAGGGAAAAGACGUGCAGCGCGAUCCUCAAAGCGCCCUCAUCCCAGCAAAGCUUAGCUGAACAGGCCAGCUUAGAACGCCUAAAGAAGUUUGCUAUGCAAUCCUAAAGAGAGUACAGCCAAUUGAAGCCCAUUCAUUCCAAUGGGCUUAAACUGGAGCAAUUCUGCAUAGGAUCGGACUGCUGGUUACGCCUCCUCUUGGAAGCGCUAGAAGCUGAGUAAAGUAACCAAGCGAAGGGAAUGAAAACCAUGCCAAAUACUUGUGUUUUUAAAAUAAUUUUUGAAUGACCAGGAGAAAGGGGUCAGCGGAUGUCUGGCGUGAGGGAGGAAGUCCAUCUUUGCCCAGGCUAGCAGUUGCAACUUUGCCCGGUACCCUCUUCAAGGGGAAGUUCUAACCAAAGCCGCCCUGGACUCCCUGGUUUCUUCGGGAGAAUUUAAGCAGGAAACUUCUCCCCACUCCCUUUGUUAAUACAUGCAAAAGUUAGCGAGAAUAACCUUCAUUUCAACAUCUCUCCAUAACCUAUGCUGGGAUUUUGGAGAAAAUCUCUUUUCCUUAACAGCCAAGGCAAGUUUCCCGAGUACAGUGAAACUUUCAGACCCCACCAUUGAACGCCCUUUGCUGUGAGGCUGAUUCCAUCUCAGAUUAGAGAAUCGAGGACAGGUCUAAUUUUUAAACAUAUUUUGCGAUGUUGAUUAUCGUUUCUUUAUGGAAUACCUGAUAGUCUAUUUAAACAAUUGACAGCUCAGCCAAUAGACUAUGACCUCGAUCCACAGUCAGGCCUGACGGAUCCUAAACUCACAUCCUAUGGAUUAAACAUUACCAAUCUUGCUGAUAUUAUUUCCGAAGUCCACACUAUUUAGGUACAUUCUGUAUUAAAAGCAACGAGUUGUGGUGAGUAGUUCUAUUGACUUCAGUGGGAGCCGCAAUAGGAUCCUAUCAGUGUUAACUGGGAAAAAAAAAUUCCGUUGUCGAACUGCUUUCAGUCACAGAUCAAAAGUGGGCGGGGGGGGAGGGAGUGUAGCUAAAAUGGCUCUGGGCGCAAAAUGAACUAACGGUUUUGAAUUUUUCCCCCGCCCCCACCCAAAUUUACUUUUAAUGUCGUGCUUCUUCUUUGCAGGCGCCCAGGACUCUGCAAGUGCGAAUGGGACUGGUAUUUUUUGAGGGGGUGGGAGGGAGGAUUCCCCCCACACUACUGUUCUGUCUCUGCCCCAAAGUGAGUUCCCAGGGAGCAUCAGCGGAAUGAAAUUGUGGAGCCGGUUGGAUUCUCUGGCCUUCACCUUCGAGAGUCACAGGUGGACACAAUUUUAAAGAAAUGGCUCUUCAGGUGCUUUUUACUUUCUUCAGAUAGAAAACCCCGUAAUAUUAUCUCUGUGUGUCGACCCCCCCUUUCUGCAGUCCAUUAAUCUUUCCCUCCCUCUCAAGGCCGCAAGAAAUUGAAACGCAAACAGCCACAGGGGCGCCUUUAGAAAGAGUUAGAAUGUCCUUCGCAGAAAGAGGCCUUGCCUUCUCAGUCAGAGCAGGGCUUUUUGGACCUCUACCCCAGAGGGCGGCAGCUGAGCAGUGGGGCUGGGAGCUCCUUUGCCAGAUGCCCUGGGAUCUCUUCUGCCUUCUUUGAGAUGGGUCCCCGUCCGCAGAGAGAGCUCAGGCCCUUGUCCAUCAACGGUAUUCUGAACUGUAACCCAGUCCCCAGUCUGUUCAGUGCUCAUUAAAGCAACUUGGUCUCUGACAAGUUCUGCUACAAUGGGGCCAUCAGAAGACAGCCACUCCCCCCACCCCCCUCUGACUUUGCUGUGCAUGUGUGAACAGCCCCUUAUGGAGAAGUUCCUAGGAGCAGGCACUUCAGGUCUCCUUUCCAAACAUGCUAGCUUCCAUGUUAAUCCCCCCCCCCUCUCUGUGGUGUAUGUGGACAGUUGAGGGCAUCACUGACCAUUCAAAUGGGGGGCGAUCACUGAAUGAACAAACGCCUCAGUUUGAAGGACUCUUUGGGCUACAGUAAAAGCCUCAGUAUUAUACAAAUACAACAGGACUUUAGAGCUGCGCAGGAAAGAUGUAGGAGCAUCUCCUGACCUUGACUACCGACUGUGGUACAAAUCCAGGAGCGAGAAACCAAUGUGAAUUUUUAAGGAGGCUGCCCACAAUCCUAGACCCACUUCUUUGAGAGUGAGUCUCCGUGGGAUUUACUGCCCUGAUUCUGGGUUUGGGAUGUACAUGGGGGAUGGGAGUGUACAGGUGAGUUCCAAGAAAGAUUCAGUGCUUUUACCUACUCGGGGAGAGAAGUAUUAAAUUCAGUAAGCAUUUUAUUAUAUUGGCAAUUAUACUGUUCUAGAUUUGCUCUAGGUCCAAGAAGAGGAAACCCAUGUGGAAUGUGAAUAAUGCAAAAUUUGGAAUUUAUUACAAUAAAAAUCGCCCCUUUUGACCAAGUUGAGCUGAUUCUGCAUGGGCCAAAAAAAAUGGUGUGAAAAUGGUGUGAAAACAGUAUAAACCCUUUUACACCAUUUUCACACUGUUUUCACACUGCUGUUUUUGGCCCAUGCGGAAUCAGCCCAAUAAGGAGGUCUGAAAGCCUUAUAAUUCUGUCACUGCCAAAAGGAGGGGGGAAAUAUGCCGGCAAUUCUCAUUUAGAGGCUCAUGCCCCACGGGUAAGACUGCUUGGCUAGGAUCUGGGAGACCCAGACUGUCUCCCCACUUUGCUGCGGAAGCUUGCUGGGUGAUUUUGUCCCAGUUACAGGCCCAGCCUAA